GGGGUGCACUGAAUACCGCGAUUCGACAUCAUUUUCCGGUCUUAUUUCCCUAGCUGUUCGUGAAUCCGCGGAGAUGGGAACCAAACUCUUACGCCGAGAAUCGCGAGUUUGCCAGGAUUUCAUGGAAAUCGGUCCGGACCUUUUAUGAAUGGUUUGGGACAUCGUGUGUCCGCGUAUGUAGCUCGACGGGAUGUAUGGAUUCGCCAGUUCGCUUGUCUCGAACUGGUCCCGCGAGACUACCAAUAGAGCGUACUUCCUGACUUCGGAGGAGUUGCACGUCUUCAUCUGCAUAACGGACUGGCCGUUCUUAAAUACCCUCAGAUUCUCUGGAAGACCCGAGCAGAAUAUAAUUCAUUAUUGUAUCUCGCUGAAUA